UUCCUUGGAAAAGGCAGCUGAGAGGGUGAAACUCCCGUCCGCCUGGUAGAAUGAGUCUUUGUCAACGAGUCGAGUUGUUUGGGAUUGCAGCUCUAAUUUGGUGGUAAAUUCCAUCUAAAGCUAAAUAUUGGUGGGAGACCGAUAGCGUACAAGUACCGUGAGGGAAAGAUGCAAAGAACUUUGAAAAGAGAGUUAAAGAGUACCUGAAAUUGCUGAAACGGAAGCGAAGGAAACCAGUGUUUGUUGGUUCAUAUUUCCCUGGCCACUUGUGGUUUGGGCG
rnacentral:rRNA from 1 species